CUCGCCUGUUUUAUCAAAAACAUGGUUUUUUGAUUUAAGUAAUAAAAAUCUGACCUGCCCAGUGAUUGUAUUUAACGGCUGCGGUAAUUUAACCGUACAAAGGUAGCAUAAUAAAUUGUCUAUUAAUUGUAGACUGGAAUGAAAGGUUUAACUUNAGGAUAGUUGUCUUAUUAGUAUUAUGAAGUUUAAUAGUUUAUGAGGAUGUAAAUAUGAAUUUAUUAGACGAGAAGACCCUAAUGAGUUUUAUAUUNAAAUUAAUAAUAAUGUUUAGUUUAUUAUAUUAUUUAAAUAUUUUGCUGGGGCGGUUAAAGUUAAGAAUAACAUUUUAAUAUAGUUUUAUUAUAUAUGAAUAUUUGAUCUAAAAUUUUUAAUUGUUAGUAAAAAUUACCAUAGGGAUAACAGCGUAAUUUUAUUUAAGAGUUCUUAUUGAUGAUGAAGUUUGCGACCUCGAUGUUGGGUUAAGAUACCUAAUUGGUGAAGGAGUUAAUUAAGGUAGUCUGUUCGACUAUAAAAUUCUUAUAUGAUCUGAGUUCAAAACCGGAGA
rnacentral:rRNA from 1 species